UGCCGAAACCCGGGAUCGAACCAGGGACCUAUGGAUCUUCAGUCUAACGCUCUCCCAACUGAGCUAUUUCGGU